rnacentral:tRNA from 1 species
GCCGAGGUGGCGAAAUUGGUAGACGCGCAGGCUUCAGGAGCCUGUGGUGGUUACACACCGUGCCGGUUCGAGGCCGGCUCUCGGCACCA